ensembl:lncRNA
AUCUAGUCUGUGUGUAUCUAUGGUCGGCACGUCUGGUAGCAUCUGUGGCUGCUGUUGACCUUGUUUUUGGAGUAAAACACGGUGGAAGCUGAAUUAGUGAGGAUGACUCCUGCUCCUGUCAUCUCUAAGCUCCUCACACAUCUUUACCUGCACAUGAGGAAAAUCACUCCUGUAGAAUGCAGAUGUUCAGAGGGAGAUGAUGCCACAUCUGGUCCAGCUGAUGGAAGGUCUUGAAGUUCUCUGACUGGCCUCGACUGAAGAUGGUCGUCUCACUGGAUUUAAGAUGCACAAUGAGGGACGUCUGCAGAGACUGAGAAAGAGUCUCACCACAUCCUGACAUGAGGAAAAAGACUUUAUUGAAGACUACAAUGAGAAAAACUAUCAGACAGCAGACGGCUGCAUUCAAGUCUGUAGCUGCUGAAUUCAUGGAUGAAUCAUCUGGCACUAGAGAAGAAGACCAUCAAACAUCCACGUCAGCUGAUGGAGGUCCAAGAGUCUCACCGAACAACCAACCUACAGAGUGAAGACCUCAAAUCUGAUUGGACGGCCUCCUAUUCAGCCACAUGUGUGAACAAAUGCCUCUAAGCUGAUUUGUUUUCUAAAAUAAAUCUAGUUUGAGUCCUAAUCUAUGCCUGUGUGUUUGCUUCUUUACACCGCUGUUAACAGUUUAGGCUGUUAGAUUGUUCCAGAUAAGACAAGUACAAGAUUCUUCAGAGCCGUUCUACCACGAGCCUGACAGGAAGAACUCCAACAGCUACUGAAUGUUCCUGUGGUUCCCUCAAGGCUACAGGAGGAGCCCUACGAGGACGAGCCGGUCCACCUGAUGGUGGCCAGUCGCUGCGGUUCAAAGCCAACACCGACUACGUGGACUUCUACUGGACCACACGGAGGCCUUCAAACCGGACCAACAAGUUCAGCGACUCCCCGACUCGUGGGUCUGAGGACGCCGCCGAGCCUCGGUCCAGCCGGCCUCCUGUCUGUGGGUGUUUGAGUGCUGAGAGGUUUGUGGAUGCAUGUGAACGUGUCUGUGUUGAAACAGCAGCUUUUGACUCAGUAACGCUGGGAAAAACCAAGAGCUCCUUUAUUUGUGACUUCCACUAAAAAAAACUGAUGAAAAUAAGUUUGCCAGGGUUCUGACUGAUAACAGAUUAUUAAAUAAUGAAAAUAAUCGUUUAAAUAUUCCUUUAAACAAUCCUUUUAGGUCUACAUUUCCUUUACACUGACUUCUUGGUAUAUGUACAAGUAUUUU